UUUCUACUCCCUCCGUCCCAAAAUUCUUGUCUUAGAUUUGUCUAGAUAUGAAUGUAUCUAGUCACGUUUUAGUAUUUAGAUACAUCCAUUUUUAGAUAAAAUUAAGACAAGAAUUUUGGGACGGAAGGAGUAUAAA
rnacentral:pre_miRNA from 1 species